UAACAACAGAUGAUGCCUAUCAACUGUUUAAAAGUAAUUGGUUCUGCUAUCACUCUUGGAUGGACCUGCGGUGCAUUAGCUAGUUGGUAGGGUAACGGCCUACCAAGGCGAUGAUGCAUAGCCGAGUUGAGAGACUGAUCGGCCACAUUGGGACUGAGACACGGCCCAAACUCCUACGGGAGGCAGCAGUAGGGAAUCUUCCACAAUGGACGCAAGUCUGAUGGAGCAACGCCGCGUGAGUGAAGAAGGGUUUCGGCUCGUAAAGCUCUGUUGUUGAUGAAGAAGGACAGGGGUAGUAACUGACCUUUGUUUGACGGUAAUCAAUUAGAAAGUCACGGGCUAACUACGUGCCAGCAGCCGCGGUAAAU
rnacentral:rRNA from 1 species